ensembl:misc_RNA Metazoa_SRP Metazoan signal recognition particle RNA
GCCGGGCGUAGUGCCGCACACCUGUAAUCCCAGCUACUCAGGAGGCUGAGGCAGGAGAAUCACUUGAACCCGGGAGGUGGAGGUUGCAGUGAGCCAAAACGGCGCCACUGUACUCCACCCUGGGUAACACAGUGAGACUUUGUCUCAA